UACGGGGGGUGCAAGCGUUACUCGGAAUCAUUGGGCGUAAAGGGCGCGCAGGCGGCCAAGUAAGUCAGAUGUGAAAGCCCGGGGCUCAACCCCGGAAGUGCAUUUGAUACUGCUUGGCUUGAGUAUGGGAGAGGGAAGUGGAAUUCCUGGUGUAGAGGUGAAAUUCGUAGAUAUCAGGAGGAACACCGGUGGCGAAGGCGACUUCCUGGACCAAUACUGACGCUGAGGCGCGAAGGCGUGGGGAGCAAACAGG
rnacentral:rRNA from 1 species